rnacentral:rRNA from 1 species
AUUGAACGCUAGCGGGAUGCUUUACACAUGCAAGUCGAACGGCAGCGCGGACUUCGGUCUGGCGGCGAGUGGCGAACGGGUGAGUAAUGUAUCGGAACGUGCCCAGUAGCGGGGGAUAACUACGCGAAAGCGUAGCUAAUACCGCAUACGCCCUACGGGGGAAAGCAGGGGAUCGUAAGACCUUGCACUAUUGGAGCGGCCGAUAUCGGAUUAGCUAGUUGGUGAGGUAACGGCUCACCAAGGCGACGAUCCGUAGCUGGUUUGAGAGGACGACCAGCCACACUGGGACUGAGACACGGCCCAGACUCCUACGGGAGGCAGCAGUGGGGAAUUUUGGACAAUGGGGGCAACCCUGAUCCAGCCAUCCCGCGUGUGCGAUGAAGGCCUUCGGGUUGUAAAGCACUUUUGGCAGGAAAGAAACGUCGCGGGCUAAUACACCGUGGAACUGACGGUACCUGCAGAAUAAGCACCGGCUAACUACGUG